UACGGAGGGUGCAAGCGUUAAUCGGAAUUACUGGGCGUAAAGCGUGCGCAGGCGGUCUGUUAAGUCCGUUGUGAAAGCCCCGAGCUCAACUUGGGAAUUGCAGUGGAUACUGGCAGGCUGGAGUACGGUAGAGGAAGGUGGAAUUCCCGGUGUAGCAGUGAAAUGCGUAGAUAUCGGGAGGAACACCAGUGGCGAAGGCGGCCUUCUGGACCAGUACUGACGCUGAUGCACGAAAGCGUGGGGAGCAAACAGG
rnacentral:rRNA from 1 species